CCUACGGGUGGCAGCAGUGAGGAAUAUUGGUCAAUGGCCGGAAUGCUGAACCAGCCAUGCCGCGUGCAGGAAGACGGCCCUAUGGGUUGUAAACUGCUUUUAUACGGGGGUAAAGUGCUCCACGAGUGGGGUUUUGCAAGUACGGUACGAAUAAGGAUCGGCUAAUUCCGUGCCAGCAGCCGCGGUAAUACGGAGGGUCCGGGCGUUAUCCGGAUUUAUUGGGUUUAAAGGGUGCGUAGGUUGGUGUUUAAGUGUGCGGUGAAAUUCUGAGGCUCAACAACGGGGGUGCGGCGAGUACUGGAGAACUAGAGAGCGGAGACAGCAGGCGGAAUGUGUAGUGUAGCGGUGAAAUGCAUAGAUAUUACACAGAACACCGAUUGCGAAGGCAGCUUGCU
rnacentral:rRNA from 1 species